UAGAAGCAUCUCUCAAACCCUCUUUCUCUCACAUGGCUCUCUUUUCUUUCCUGUUCUCGUCCUUUCCUUCGCUCCAACCCAUUUCACAUUUUCUUUCUCAAACCCUCGUCCUUCCCGUUCUCGUCCUUUCUGCCGCUUCAACCCAUUUCACAUUUUCUUUCCUGUUAAUCUUCCUCUCUCCAUGCGAUAUCUUUCUUUCUCAAUUGAAAUCUUAAAAUAAAUUUCCUCUAUGCUAGAUGGUUCGUUGGCGGGUCAGAUCGCAGGUUCAAAAACCAGUUCGAUAAUGGAGGAAGGGCUUGGGAUAGCUUUGCUUGGUCCAAAAGCUCAAGGUCCACCGCUCCAAGUCUUAAAGUAUGGCCUCAUGAUCUUGAACAACCUCAAAAAAUAUCUAGUCUCAGCAUGGAAGGUGAGUGUUUGAGCUUCGGAUUGUUGGUAAUUCCACCUGGGAUUUUGUUAGUUCAAUUGGGUUGUGGGGAUAUUACCAUCGGAGGUAGACUGGAUAUCAUCAUCGAGAGAGGCAUCUGGCACCGCCGUGGACAGAGAGGGUUGGUGCAAUCUUGCCUGCUGCAUCACCGCCUCGACUCUCACGGAUUUCGAAACAGCUUAGCUAAAAAAAAUGGAAGAUGAUAAAAGCAUCUUGUGUGAUUGUAAAUGGGGGUCAUUUUAGGUCAUGAAAGUUUCAUUAAAGCCCUAAACGCCUCUUAGAAAAGAGGUUUGCACAGAAGUUGAAAAGUCAAUUUUUCAGAGCUACCUUUUGCUGCUUCUGUUUUUUGGCUUUUUUUCAUUCAAAUCUGUGGAAAAAAAUUGAAGUUGAAAGUUUACCACACAUAAAAAAGUUCCCAACUCUUUUUGAUACCCACUUUUUUUAAAAUCACCUUAAUACCAAACCAGGGAUUAGUCUUAAGCGUUUGAUUUAAAUUUCUUUAGAAUUAUUGUCAUUGUUUUUUAUCCCUGCUGUUGUUUUUUAUUUUUGAUUUUUAUGCGUUGUUCAUCUGUGUAGGCACUCCAAUUAGUUUUUGGAGUGCAUCUUGAUCAGACCACCACAAAAGAGAAAACGGAAACAAAAUUCAGAGCCAUCAAAACAAACAAAUGCUAGUCUGUCCUAAAAAAGGUUGGUUUGUGUACUUUUGAAGAAUAUAUGGAAAAAGAGAGUAUUGAUAAUGGUGUAGAAUCUGAUGGUGAUGUGGUUGAAAAAGAUAAAAUGUUGCAUGAAAAGAUCUCGGAACUCAUUGACGAAAUAUGCAGCGUGAGCUGAGUUGAUAAGGAGAAACAAGGAGAAGUGUGAAACAAUUGAGUGGCCUUUGUCCCAUGUGCAUAAGCGAACGGAUGAGAACAAAAUUUUGAGGAUUCAUCUGGGAAUCCAUAAGGAUACUACUGAUCAUACAAUUCCAAUCCAUAAGAAUGCUACUGAACAUACAAUUACAAGGCAAAACAAGCCUCAGUUUUCAAGGUCUAAGUCCACGGGGCCAUCUUUCCUUGGAAGGCUCACUGGAUGCACUGGCACCUGAUCUUAAUUAGCAACUUUUCAACUUAAUUAGAAAUGGAACUGAAUGCUUCGUUAUUUUGAUCUUGCAUCUGAAGCCGAGUCUGGAUUAAGAGAAAGAUCUCAUGGCAGGAAUCAUGGACUUGAGGAAGGUGAGGUUAACGAAGUGUGCUUUAGCACCAAGAUUGAGUUUUGUUUUUUUACGAUUUUUCUAUAAUCUAGAUGCUGAAAUACUUGGAGUUGGAAUUAAUAAGAAUCGAUUGAAACAUGGAUUUUUUAUUAGAUUGGUAUGGCUGACAUAGUAGUUUAAGAUGCACUGCAGUGAUUAGGGAAUUUCUUUAACUGAACAUAUUUGUUUUCAUGAGGUAGGUAGAAUCCUCUGUAAUUUAAUUAAUUAGAUUGAAAUUUGGAGCCAUGUCUGGAGUCUUACACUAUGGUGGUUAAUGUGGUUUUUAGGUGAUUUUUUCAAGUGGGGAAAAAGAGG